AAGGGGGGGUGGCUAAACAUGCGAGUCGAACGGAUCCUUCGGGAUUAGUGGCAGACGGGUGAGUAACGCGUGGGAAGCUACCUUGUGGUAGGGAACAACAGUUGGAAACGACUGCUAAUACCCUAUGAGCCCUAUGGGGGAAAGAUUUAUCGCCAUGAGAUGUGCCCGCGUUAGAUUAGCUAGUUGGUAAGGUAAUGGCUUACCAAGGCGACGAUCUAUAGCUGGUCUGAGAGGAUGAUCAGCCACACUGGGACUGAAACACGGCCCAGACUCCUACGGGAGGCAGCAGUGGGGAAUAUUGGACAAUGGGGGCAACCCUGAUCCAGCCAUGCCGCGUGUGUGAUGACGGCCUUAGGGUUGUAAAGCACUUUCAGCAGUGAAGAUAAUGACAUUAACUGCAGAAGAAGCCCCGGCUAACUUCGUGCCAGCAGCCGCGGUAAUACGAAGGGGGCUAGCGUUGUUCGGAAUCACUGGGCGUAAAGCGUACGUAGGCGGACUGAUCAGUCAGGGGGUGAAAUCCCGGGGCUCAACCCCGGAACUGCCUUUGAUACUGUCAGUCUUGAGAUCGAGAGAGGUGAGUGGGAACUCCGAGUGUAGAGGUGAAAUUCGUAGAUAUUCGGAAGAAACACCAGUGGCGAAGGCGGCUCACUGGCUCGAUACUGACGCUGAGGUACAAAAGCGUGGGGGAGCAAACAGGAUUAAAAUACCCUGGUAGUCCACGCCGUAAACGAUGAAUGCUAGUUGUCAGGUAGCUUGCUAUUUGGUGACGCACCUAACGCAAUUAAGCAUCCGCCUGGGGAGUACGGUCGCAAGAAUAAAAACUCAAAGGAAAUGACGGGGGCCCGCACAAGCGGUGGGAGCAUGUGGGUUAAUUCUAAGCAACGCGCAAAACCUUACCAGCCCCUUGACAUUUUGGCUCUACAACCGGAAAACGGUUGGUUCCUUUCUGGGAACUUCAGGACAAGGGGCUGCAUGGUCUGUCGUCAGCUCAUGUCCUGAGAAGUUGGG
rnacentral:rRNA from 1 species